AUUGAACGCUGGCGGCAUGCUUUACACAUGCAAGUCGAACGGUAACAGGCCGCAAGGUGCUGACGAGUGGCGAACGGGUGAGUAAUGCAUCGGAACGUGCCCAGUCGUGGGGGAUAACGCAGCGAAAGCUGCGCUAAUACCGCAUACGAUCUAUGGAUGAAAGCGGGGGACCGUAAGGCCUCGCGCGAUUGGAGCGGCCGAUGUCCGAUUAGGUAGUUGGUGGGGUAAAGGCUCACCAAGCCAACGAUCUGUAGCUGGUCUGAGAGGACGACCAGCCAAACUGGGACUGAGACACGGCCCAGACUCCUACGGGAGGCAGCAGUGGGGAAUUUUGGACAAUGGGCGCAAGCCUGAUCCAGCAAUGCCGCGUGCAGGAAGAAGGCCUUCGGGUUGUAAACUGCUUUUGUACGGAACGAAACGGUCCUGGUUAAUACCCGGGGCUAAUGACGGUACCGUAGGAAUAAGCACCGGCUAACUACGUGCCAGCCGCCGCCGUAACAC
rnacentral:rRNA from 1 species